AAGUCGUAACAAGGUUUCCGUAGGUGAACCUGCGGAAGGAUCAUUAACACGUAUCCACGUAUCAACCAAAUGCGAACUUGUUUUCACCUCCCUGCGAGAGCACAUGAGAAGGAAGUGGGAAGACUUUUGAGUGGGACGUAAGUCCAGUCUUUUCACCCAUACGUUUAGGUUCGCCUAUUCAUACUUCUGUAGUGUUGGAGCAGGACAAACUAUCUUAUCAUUUUAUAAUCUCCUCAAGAUUAUAUUUGAUGGGAGCAACCAUUAACCUAUUUCACCCCCUUUUUGCUAGUUGACUUUUUAUAUGUUGUUUACAGGACAGGUUUUUACCUGCACUGCAUUCACACGUUUAAUUAUUUGAACGUUAAAAAUACAACUCUUAGCAAUGGAUAUCUUGGUUCUC
rnacentral:misc_RNA from 1 species